CUAAGGUCAGUUUACCUAUAAAUAGGUAAUCGAUUUACCCAUAUUUGGGUUUUGCAUUCAAAACCCAUAAUUUGGGUAAAGUAUACCAAGAAAAAACGGUAAAAUUUACUUAUAAUAGCAGUAAAGCUAAUUUACCCAAAUAUGGGUAACCGAGCUUUACCCAUAUUUGGCUGAAAAAUGAAAGUGUUCGUCAAAUCGAUGUCAAAUCAGAAUGAUCAUCUAUUCGGCGAGCAUUUCGGAGCAUAAACUUCACAAAAAAUUGGAAUUCGUUUAAUAUUGAAAGGUGACAAUGAUGUAAAAGACUCCGCCGAGGCCGAUUCCGGCGCCAGAUCUCCUGACUAGCGCACACAGUCAAAAGCUCGGGUUCGCUAUGCUGGAUUUCCGGGGCAGCCUUCCCUGUCCCCCGUGUGUGAUCCACGAAGAACGAGAAAUCCAUCUGGUCAAUUGAUUCAUUGUGGUUGCCAUCCGGUGCUGAGGAGCGUGAAAAGUAAAAGUGUUAAUCAAAACCCGAGUGAUCAGCUAACUGAAUCACUUAAUCAGAAAGGGUUUGAGUGAAAUUCGAUUCCAGUUGAUUUGCAAAGGUCCCAAUCAUCAUGGAAAACGUUGUACGAGGUCGUAAUUCGCCUAUGGAAUUGCCACAUCGAAGGUGCCCCUUAAUAGUUCUUCCAGUCAUCCAAGGAUCCGCUGAGUCAAUGGCCCAGGUUUACCUCGAUGCAACCUCCUCUUCAAAGCACCACUUGUGUUUUCGACUUCUCCCCCAGAUUGAGGAUCUCUCACCGGAACCAACCUCAGACCG